CCUACGGGGGGCAGCAGUGGGGAAUAUUGCACAAUGGAGGAAACUCUGAUGCAGCGACGCCGCGUGAGCGAAGAAGGCCUUCGGGUCGUAAAGCUCUGUCCUAUGGGACGAUAAUGACGGUACCAUAGGAGGAAGCCCCGGCUAACUACGUGCCAGCAGCCGCGGUAAUACGUAGGGGGCGAGCGUUGUCCGGAAUUAUUGGGCGUAAAGGGUACGUAGGCGGCUAGGUAAGUCAGAUGUGAAAGGCUAUGGCUCAACCAUAGUAAGCAUUUGAAACUACUUAGCUUGAGUUAAGGAGAGGAAAGUGGAAUUCCUGGUGUAGCGGUGAAAUGCGUAGAUAUCAGGAGGAAUACCAGUGGCGAAGGCGACUUUCUGGACUUAUACUGACGCUGAGGUACGAAAGCGAGGGGAGCAAACAGGAUUAGAUACCCUGGUAGUC
rnacentral:rRNA from 1 species